AGAGGCAUGGAGAAGAAAGGAAAGUUCGUUUUGGCAACUUUAUUUCUCUUUUUCAUGACAAUAUCUUGCCAUUACUUUGAUGGAGAUGAGCUUCAGAAGUGUGUUCUAAGGGUUGUCGUCGAAGGUGAUGUAUGCAUUGUGAGUUCCUCGCUUCGGCUCAAUAACAGCCAGAAGCACUUCGAUCCGAAACUGUGCAUGGAAGUGACUUGCGUUGCAACACAAAAACAGCUUCAGUUAAAGUACUGCGACCCUCCUUCGCCAACUCCAGGAAAAGUAUGCGAAGUUGGAUUUGAAACGCCUAAACGUGGAAAAACGCCAGAGAAAUUUUUCCAUUGCUGCCCCCAUUACACAUGCAAAGGAGCCCUUAGCAAGUAGAGUAUUUUGAACUAUAUUUUCACAUAGGCAAUGCAGAAGGCGCUUAUUGAAGAGACGUUCUAGUGAGAGCGCAAAAUAAAAGCUGGGUGCAAUAUGCAAUCAGGAUUUCGUAACCAGUUAAUGGUCGCAAUAAUUUUCCAGUAAUAAAACAAUUGCCAUCAUUAUGAUUACAACGUA